ACCAUCAUCGUCUAGUGGUUUAGGAUACCAGGUUUUCAUUCUGGGGGCCGGGGUUCGAUCCCCCGUGAUGGUG